rnacentral:lncRNA from 1 species
GAGGUGUCCACUGUGAGACUAUACCAUUAUCUUUGAGAUAGGCCCAAAAUUUUUUACUAAAGUAUUCCCAUCCACGAUCUAAUCGAAGAAUCUUUAUAGGUUUUUCGAUCUAUUUUUCUACUUCAUGUAUGAACUCUAUGAACUUUUCAAAGACUUUAGAUUUUUAGUGUAUCAAAUACACGAACCCAUACCAUGAAUAAUCAUCGA